GACGAACGCUGGCGGCGUGCUUAACACAUGCAAGUCGAACGGAAAGGCCUCUUUCGGGGGGUACUCGAGUGGCGAACGGGUGAGUAACACGUGAGUAACCUGCCCUUGACUUUGGGAUAACUUCAGGAAACUGGGGCUAAUACCGGAUAGGAGCUCCUGCUGCAUGGUGGGGGUUGGAAAGUUUCGGCGGUUGGGGAUGGACUCGCGGCUUAUCAGCUUGUUGGUGGGGUAGUGGCUUACCAAGGCUUUGACGGGUAGCCGGCCUGAGAGGGUGACCGGCCACAUUGGGACUGAGAUACGGCCCAGACUCCCACGGGAGGCAGCAGUGGGGAAUAUUGCACAAUGGGUGGAAGCCUGAUGCAGCAACGCCGUGUGCGGGAUGACGGCCUUCGGGUUGUAAACCGCUUUCGCUCAUGACGAAGCUUUGUGUGACGGUAGUGGGUAAAGAAGCACCGGCUAACUACGUG
rnacentral:rRNA from 1 species